CACAGAACAUCUGGAGAGAGGCGCGUCGCGCCCACCGAAGGGGAUCUCCGCCACCCGCUGGCGGAGUCAAGCUCUCAGGUACACAGACAGAUGGGGCGUA
rnacentral:ncRNA from 2 species